rnacentral:tRNA from 1 species
GGUCUUAGCUCAGCUGGGAGAGCAUCUGCCUUACAAGCAGAGGGUCAUAGGUUCGAGCCCUAUUGGUC